UAUGCCCCUGCACCGAUACGGCCUUCCAUGAAGCCCGGCCCAGAAAGCUUUGGAGUCUGGUUACAUCUCUGCCAUGCAGGCCUGGCCUUCCCAGGACAAGAGCCCCCUGCAGCUUCCAGAACCCCGUGGUCUCAAGCAGAGAGCUGUCGCACUUCCUUCUUUGCCUUCUCAUCCUCCAAGUCCCAUCUUAGUCAUCUUCCUCCGGGAAACAGAACGCCGGGGUCCUCCUCUGUCCCCCCAUAGCCCCCAAAGCUUUACAUCAUCAUCGUUUAGUCAGAUGGUAAUUAGACUGGUUGUGUGCCUCCUCCACUGGACUGUGUCCCAUCUACCAUUGUAUUCCCAGGACCCACUUGAUAUAAAUAGGCUGGAUGAAUAACUGAGUGAAUAAAGGAUGGAAAUCGUC
rnacentral:lncRNA from 10 species